rnacentral:rRNA from 1 species
UACGUAGGGUGCAAGCGUUAAUCGGAAUUACUGGGCGUAAAGCGUGCGCAGGCGGUUAUGUAAGACAGGUGUGAAAUCCCCGGGCUCAACCUGGGAACUGCAUUUGUGACUGCAUAGCUAGAGUACGGUAGAGGGGGAUGGAAUUCCGCGUGUAGCAGUGAAAUGCGUAGAUAUGCGGAGGAACACCGAUGGCGAAGGCAAUCCCCUGGACCUGUACUGACGCUCAUGCACGAAAGCGUGGGGGAGCAAACGGG